GACGGACGCUGGCGGCGUGCUUAACACAUGCAAGUCGAACGGAAAGGCCCUGCUUUUGUGGGGUGCUCGAGUGGCGAACGGGUGAGUAACACGUGAGUAACCUGCCCUUGACUUUGGGAUAACUUCAGGAAACUGGGGCUAAUACCGGAUAGGAGCUCCUGCUGCAUGGUGGGGGUUGGAAAGUUUCGGCGGUUGGGGAUGGACUCGCGGCUUAUCAGCUUGUUGGUGGGGUAGUGGCUUACCAAGGCUUUGACGGGUAGCCGGCCUGAGAGGGUGACCGGCCACAUUGGGACUGAGAUACGGCCCAGACUCCUACGGGAGGCAGCAGUGGGGAAUAUUGCACAAUGGGCGGAAGCCUGAUGCAGCAACGCCGCAUGCGGGAUGACGGCCUUCGGGUUGUAAACCGCUUUCGCCUGUGACGAAGCGUGAGUGACGGUAAUGGGUAAAGAAGCACCGGCUAACUACGUG
rnacentral:rRNA from 1 species